UACGUAGGGGGCAAGCGUUGUCCGGAAUCAUUGGGCGUAAAGCGCGUGUAGGCGGCCAGAAAAGUCCGCUGUGAAAACUCGAGGCUCAACUUCGAGCUGUCGGUGGAAACUUUCUGGCUAGAGUCCAGUAGGGGAGUGUGGAAUUCCCGGUGUAGCGGUGAAAUGCGCAGAUAUCGGGAGGAACACCAGCGGCGAAGGCGGCACUCUGGGCUGGUACUGACGCUGAGGAGCGAAAGCGUGGGUAGCAAACAGG
rnacentral:rRNA from 1 species